rnacentral:lncRNA from 1 species
AAACUAUUUAGAGGUCAGUCUGCUGCGUUGGGCUUAUAGGAUUGUCAUGGAAACCAGUAACACUACACAGCAAGGACGCUUGGUUAACAGCAGGGAUUUACUGUAGUGGGGACAAUGUGGUCUGUUAAAGGGGCAGGGCAAAAGAGACCAUAUGGGGUCUGCUUUUCAGGACCACUAAUGCUGUAGGUCAAAGGACAAAGGUAGACAGUGGCCCUUUAUUUUAAAAAGACAGCAGUGAUUUGAGGUUACCUGUUUCCUUCUCCAAAGGCCCAUGUGUGCUGUAUAUAUGGAUCAACAGAUCUGGGCUGCAGUACACACUGACAAGGCGAGCACACUGAAGGAGAAGUCUGCCACUGCAGAGAACGGAUCUGUCCACACUGAUUCAGUCAAAGCUGAGCCACAGGUGUCUGCUGACGAGGAAGAAAGCUGAGAAGACCGGAAGAGGAGGAUAAGAGGGAGCUAGAGUUUCCUCAUGACCUGCUGCCC